rnacentral:lncRNA from 1 species
CGACGGGAAGAGCGCCUCGCCGACCCGGUGACUCUCGAUCGUUGAGCUCUUAUCUUUGUCAUUAGUAUCUUCUGCCCCCCUUCCUGGCGCGCCAAUCUGUUGCGGCCAAUUCCCUCGUCGUCUGGUCGCCGAGAACGAGUGCCUGCAAAAGAAAGUCCACACUGAUCGGAGGCGGCUCCGGCGGGGACCCUCCGACGGUCAAGUCAGAGAGAAGACUGGGCAACAGUGAAAUGAAGAUAGUGAGCCCAAUUGAGAGAGAGAAAGGGAGCAAGCCUGAGA